UUUUGUCACAGUUUUGAACUCCACAAUGAACAGGUAUGAGAUUUGGUGCAUGAAUCAGGAAAGCUCUAGUGCUUAAUGGAGAGUGAAUAUGAUGUCCCUUCUCAUAAUUGUGGUCUCCAAAGCCCGUCAUGUGCCUCCCUACUAGCAUGUCAAAUAAAAUAUAGCAGAUCAGAAAAGUUUUCCACUUACGGAUGUUUGGCACUCCAGCUUGACACAUAUUGAAUAGCUGACUUGCCAUAUAUAACCUCACCCUUUGUUGGCUGGAAAUAUUUUAAAACUUUAUGGACGACCUAUCCAUGCCGAAAUGUAUGUAAGGAUUUCCAACUUCUGAUUAUGGAUACUGUCUCCCAUUAUAUGAUUGUUCUCACUCACUUAAUCUUGAAAAUAGUCAAGUCAAUUUAAAUCUUGAAGAAGUGUCUGCAAUCUGCACAGUGCAAAAACCUUUUCCUUGAAAAAUAGCAUGUACUUUCUUAUUCAGUAUCUUUUCUUAUCUUUCGGAUCUUUUAGGAAGAAUAACCUAUUACACUUUAUCUUGCUUAAAGUAAUUGCAGGACAUGCUUGGGAAUUGGAGUAUAGAAGCAAAUGCUCCCGGGGACAAUCUAUUUGUGGCUAUUUCAGUUCAGCAUCCCAAGCUUGGUAACUACUUCACAGCUACCCUGCAAGCCAAAAGAGUUUACUCAUCAACUAUGUUAAAUCAUGGAAUAUUCUUCUGGUUGAAACUGUCUUUACAGUCUGCCUGUAUGUUUUCUUAUCAGCUUACACAGUCAAACCCUUUAUUUUCCUCUCAUUUGGGUACUUUUUAACUUUACUUUCCUGAAGUCAUGCCAGAAUUGAAUUAGGCCUUUAUUUUCUUGUCGUCAGCUUUGGUUUGGGUAAACCUAUGGAAGAUCAAAUUCUUCCAGGUGAAAUUAUUAAGAGGAGAGAUGCCUGACAUUUAGGUA